GACGAACGCUGGCGGCGUGCCUAAUACAUGCAAGUAGAACGCUGAAGAGAGGAGCUUGCUCUUCUUGGAUGAGUUGCGAACGGGUGAGUAACGCGUAGGUAACCUGCCUUGUAGCGGGGGAUAACUAUUGGAAACGAUAGCUAAUACCGCAUAACAAUGGAUGACACAUGUCAUUUAUUUGAAAGGGGCAAUUGCUCCACUACAAGAUGGACCUGCGUUGUAUUAGCUAGUAGGUGAGGUAAUGGCUCACCUAGGCGACGAUACAUAGCCGACCUGAGAGGGUGAUCGGCCACACUGGGACUGAGACACGGCCCAGACUCCUACGGGAGGCAGCAGUAGGGAAUCUUCGGCAAUGGGGGCAACCCUGACCGAGCAACGCCGCGUGAGUGAAGAAGGUUUUCGGAUCGUAAAGCUCUGUUGUAAGUCAAGAACGGGUGUGAGAGUGGAAAGUUCACACUGUGACGGUAGCUUACCAGAAAGGGACGGCUAACUACGUA
rnacentral:rRNA from 1 species